rnacentral:tRNA from 3 species
GGGGAGUUAGCGAAGUUGGUAUCGCGCUGCGAUCGCACCGCAGAGGUCAGGAGUUCGAAUCUCCUACUCUCCA